GUUCAACCAUUUAAAAUCAUCCAAAUCUAAUACACACAAUCAUACACAUAUAAAUGCACAUAAAUAUAUCAUGUCAGGAUAGAGAAUAAGGCUUAGCAUGAACUUUAAGACAUUAUCCUAGACUAUGUAGCUCAAAUAUCAUAAAAAGGAACCUAUGAUCUAUAUGGGAUCAACUCUCCCUACUAAAAGGGCCCCAGUAUGUGUAGCUGCACGAACCAGAGAAUAAUCAUUUGUACAUAAGUAACAUAGGGGACUCAAACCACCCAAUCAUAAAUCAAGGGUGACAUGAACACCUGGUAAGUUAACAAGGGUGACUCGAAC
rnacentral:lncRNA from 1 species